GUCGUAACAAGGUUUCCGUAGGUGAACCUGCGGAAGGAUCACUACCUAGAGUUGUAGGCUUUGCCUGCUAUCUCUUACCCAUGUCUUUUGAGUACCUUCGUUUCCUCGGCGGGUCCGCCCGCCGAUUGGACAAUUUAAACCAUUUGCAGUUGCAAUCAGCGUCUGAAAAAACUUAAUAGUUACAACUUUCAACAACGGAUCUCUUGGUUCUGGCAUCGAUGAAGAACGCAGCGAAAUGCGAUAAGUAGUGUGAAUUGCAGAAUUCAGUGAAUCAUCGAAUCUUUGAACGCACAUUGCGCCCCUUGGUAUUCCAUGGGGCAUGCCUGUUCGAGCGUCAUUUGUACCUUCAAGCUCUGCUUGGUGUUGGGUGUUUGUCUCGCCUCUGCGCGCAGACUCGCCUCAAAACAAUUGGCAGCCGGCGUAUUGAUUUCGGAGCGCAGUACAUCUCGCGCUUUGCACUCAUAACGACGACGUCCAAAAGUACAUUUUUACACUCUUGACCUCGGAUCAGGUAGGGAUACCCGCUGAACUUAAGCAUAUCA
rnacentral:rRNA from 1 species